UCAAUAGACAUAUGGUAAAAGGGGACUUUAACAUCCCACUUUCAUCAAUGGAUAGGUCAUCCAGACAGGAAAUCAGUAGGAAAA